GAUGAACGCUGGCGGCGUGCUUAACACAUGCAAGUCGAACGGGAUCCCAGGAGCUUGCUCCUGGGUGAGAGUGGCGAACGGGUGAGUAAUGCGUGACCGACCUGCCCCAUACACCGGAAUAGCUCCUGGAAACGGGUGGUAAUGCCGGAUGCUCCAGUUGACCGCAUGGUCCUCUGGGAAAGCUUUUGCGGUAUGGGAUGGGGUCGCGUCCUAUCAGCUUGAUGGCGGGGUAACGGCCCACCAUGGCUUCGACGGGUAGCCGGCCUGAGAGGGCGACCGGCCACAUUGGGACUGAGAUACGGCCCAGACUCCUACGGGAGGCAGCAGUGGGGAAUAUUGCACAAUGGGCGCAAGCCUGAUGCAGCGACGCCGCGUGCGGGAUGACGGCCUUCGGGUUGUAAACCGCUUUUGACUGGGAGCAAGCCCUUCGGGGUGAGUGUACCUUUCGAAUAAGCACCGACUAACUA
rnacentral:rRNA from 1 species